rnacentral:rRNA from 1 species
CCUACGGGUGGCAGCAGUCGAGAAUCAUUCACAAUGGGGGAAACCCUGAUGGUGCGACGCCGCGUGGGGGAAUGAAGGUCUUCGGAUUGUAAACCCCUGUCAUGUGGGAGCAAAUUAAAAAGAUAGUACCACACGAGGAAGAGACGGCUAACUCUGUGCCAUCAGCCGCGGUAAUACAGAGGUCUCAAGCGUUGUUCGGAAUCACUGGGCGUAAAGCGUGCGUAGGCUGUUUCGUAAGUCGUGUGUGAAAGGCGCGGGCUCAACCCGCGGACGGCACAUGAUACUGCGAGACUAGAGUAAUGGAGGGGGAACCGGAAUUCUCGGUGUAGCAGUGAAAUGCGUAGAUAUCGAGAGGAACACUCGUGGCGAAGGCGGGUUCCUGGACAUUAACUGACGCUGAGGCACGAAGGCCAAGGGAGCGAAAGGGAUUAGAUACCCUUGUAGUC